GGGUUGUGAGGUUAAGCGACUAAGCGUACACGGUGGAUGCCCUGGCAGUCAGAGGCGAUGAAGGACGUGCUAAUCUGCGAUAAGCGUCGGUAAGGUGAUAUGAACCGUUAUAACCGGCGAUUUCCGAAUGGGGAAACCCAGUGUGAUUCGUCACACUAUCAUUAACUGAAUCCAUAGGUUAAUGAGGCGAACCGGGGGAACUGAAACAUCUAAGUACCCCGAGGAAAAGAAAUCAACCGAGAUUCCCCCAGUAGCGGCGAGCGAACGGGGAGCAGCCCAGAGCCUGAAUCAGUGUGUGUGUUAGUGGAAGCGUCUGGAAAGGCGCGCGAUACAGGGUGACAGCCCCGUACACAAAAAUGCACAUACUGUGAGCUCGAUGAGUAGGGCGGGACACGUGGUAUCCUGUCUGAAUAUGGGGGGACCAUCCUCCAAGGCUAAAUACUCCUGACUGACCGAUAGUGAACCAGUACCGUGAGGGAAAGGCGAAAAGAACCCCGGCGAGGGGAGUGAAAAAGAACCUGAAACCGUGUACGUACAAGCAGUGGGAGCACAGAGCAAUCUGUGUGACUGCGUACCUUUUGUAUAAUGGGUCAGCGACUUAUAUUCUGUAGCAAGGUUAACCGAAUAGGGGAGCCGAAGGGAAACCGAGUCUUAACUGGGCGUUAAGUUGCAGGGUAUAGACCCGAAACCCGGUGAUCUAGCCAUGGGCAGGUUGAAGGUUGGGUAACACUAACUGGAGGACCGAACCGACUAAUGUUGAAAAAUUAGCGGAUGACUUGUGGCUGGGGGUGAAAGGCCAAUCAAACCGGGAGAUAGCUGGUUCUCCCCGAAAGCUAUUUAGGUAGCGCCUCGUGAAUUCAUCUCCGGGGGUAGAGCACUGUUUCGGCAAGGGGGUCAUCCCGACUUACCAACCCGAUGCAAACUGCGAAUACCGGAGAAUGUUAUCACGGGAGACACACGGCGGGUGCUAACGUCCGUCGUGAAGAGGGAAACAACCCAGACCGCCAGCUAAGGUCCCAAAGUCAUGGUUAAGUGGGAAACGAUGUGGGAAGGCCCAGACAGCCAGGAUGUUGGCUUAGAAGCAGCCAUCAUUUAAAGAAAGCGUAAUAGCUCACUGGUCGAGUCGGCCUGCGCGGAAGAUGUAACGGGGCUAAACCAUGCACCGAAGCUGCGGCAGCGACGCUUAUGCGUUGUUGGGUAGGGGAGCGUUCUGUAAGCCUGUGAAGGUGUACUGUGAGGUAUGCUGGAGGUAUCAGAAGUGCGAAUGCUGACAUAAGUAACGAUAAAGCGGGUGAAAAGCCCGCUCGCCGGAAGACCAAGGGUUCCUGUCCAACGUUAAUCGGGGCAGGGUGAGUCGACCCCUAAGGCGAGGCCGAAAGGCGUAGUCGAUGGGAAACAGGUUAAUAUUCCUGUACUUGGUGUUACUGCGAAGGGGGGACGGAGAAGGCUAUGUUGGCCGGGCGACGGUUGUCCCGGUUUAAGCGUGUAGGCUGGUUUUCCAGGCAAAUCCGGAAAAUCAAGGCUGAGGCGUGAUGACGAGGCACUACGGUGCUGAAGCAACAAAUGCCCUGCUUCCAGGAAAAGCCUCUAAGCAUCAGGUAACAUCAAAUCGUACCCCAAACCGACACAGGUGGUCAGGUAGAGAAUACCAAGGCGCUUGAGAGAACUCGGGUGAAGGAACUAGGCAAAAUGGUGCCGUAACUUCGGGAGAAGGCACGCUGAUAUGUAGGUGAAGUCCCUCGCGGAUGGAGCUGAAAUCAGUCGAAGAUACCAGCUGGCUGCAACUGUUUAUUAAAAACACAGCACUGUGCAAACACGAAAGUGGACGUAUACGGUGUGACGCCUGCCCGGUGCCGGAAGGUUAAUUGAUGGGGUCAGCGCAAGCGAAGCUCUUGAUCGAAGCCCCGGUAAACGGCGGCCGUAACUAUAACGGUCCUAAGGUAGCGAAAUUCCUUGUCGGGUAAGUUCCGACCUGCACGAAUGGCGUAAUGAUGGCCAGGCUGUCUCCACCCGAGACUCAGUGAAAUUGAACUCGCUGUGAAGAUGCAGUGUACCCGCGGCAAGACGGAAAGACCCCGUGAACCUUUACUAUAGCUUGACACUGAACAUUGAGCCUUGAUGUGUAGGAUAGGUGGGAGGCUUUGAAGUGUGGACGCCAGUCUGCAUGGAGCCGACCUUGAAAUACCACCCUUUAAUGUUUGAUGUUCUAACGU
rnacentral:rRNA from 1 species